AUGGAUGAUGUACUCGUUUUUUCAAGAACAUUUGAAGAGCAUCUGCAACACCUUACGAUUCUAUUUCAAAAGCUACGGGAAACCAAUCUAAAACUUAAACCUACAAAAUGUACUUUCGCUGCAAAAGAAGUAAAGUUUUUAGGCCACGUUUUAUCAAAAGAUGGAAUUGCUGUUGACACAACCAAGACAGAUGCAGUAAAAACAUUUCCAGUUCCCCAAAAUACAACAGAUGUCAGAGCAUUUUUAGGACUUGGCAAAUUACUACAGGAAGUUCGUUAAAAGGUUUUUCUGAAAAUUGCUAACCCGUUACACAGACAGCUUGUGAAAGGAGCUAAAUUUAUUUGGGACAAGAGCUGCCAACAGUCAUUCGAAGAGAUAAAGAAACUUUUAAUCUCAUCUCCAAUACUCGCGUUUCCAGACUUUUCAAAAGAUUUUAUACUCUACACGGACGCUUCACAGAUCGCUAUUGGUUACAUACUUGGACAAAAAGAUCAUAAAGGCAGAGAACAAGUCAUUGCUUAUGGUGGACGAUCAUUACGAGGAGCUGAAAAGAACUAUUGUAUCAGGGAUCUUGAAUAUUUAGCUUUGGUUGAAGGAGUUAAACAAUAUCAUGUUUAUUUGGCUAGCCGAAAAUUCAGAAUAUAUACAGAUCAUGAAGCACUUAUACACAUCCAGAAGCUCACGAAGGAGAAAAUCACAGGCCGACUUGCAAGAUGGGCUAUGUUUCUACAAAGCUACGAUUAUGAAAUAAUUUACAAAAAGGGAACGGCUAAUGGUAACGCUGAUGCGUUAAGUAGAAGACCAUAUGAUACCGAAAUAGCUACUAUUACAACAGCUACAGUCGAAUCGUCAACACAGACAGAAGCCUCUUUCAUCGAGUUAGACCCAUAUGCGUCCAUUUGCGAAAUAACCACAAGUCCAAAAGAAAAAGUCGUAAAUGAUCAACGGACAGAUGAAAAUUUCAAAGAUGUCAUUAAAUAUAUAUUGGAUAAAGAACUACCUGACAAGACCAGACAAGCUAGAAAAACGGUUAUUGAAUCACAAGAUUAUAUCAUAGACGAUGACGUAUUAUUUCAUUUAUACUACCCGAAAGGAAAAGGUCACAGAGCGGAUAGGAUAGUUAAACGAUUGGCAGUACCAUUAACCCUAAGAGACGAUAUCCUAAAGUCAUACCAUGACAGCUUACUCGGUGGACACAAUGGCAUUGAACGUACUUACCAUACAAUACGAUAUAAAUACUAUUGGCCUGGUAUGUACAAUGACAUUCAACAGUACGUACAGACGUGUAUGCAGUGUCAAAAAGCUAAACCUGACGCCCAUAAGCGCCCGACACCACUGCAACCACUUCCUGUGCUGGACGUAUUUAGAAGAGUACACAUGGACAUCUUAGGACCAUUUAGAAAAAGUUCCGGCGACUACACACACGUUCUACUAAUAGUCGAUUCAUUCACAAAAUUUAUGGAAAUACUUCCUAUGAAACAUACAGGCGCGAAAGAUGUAGCUGACCUAUUUUAUAACCAGUGGAUAUGCCGUUAUUCAGCGCCUGAUGCGAUCCUGACAGACAAAGGACAAAACUUCAUGUCGAAUAUAUUGAAGGAGGUUUGCAAUAUCUUCGAAAUCCAAAAGAUAAAUACCAGUAGUUACAGACCCCAAACAAACAGUACAUGCGAACGGAAUAACAAGACAAUAGCUGAAAAACUUCGCACAUGCAUUGAUGCCAACCAAUUAAAUUGGCCAGACAAAAUUACCAAGUAUUGCUCAUGCUAUGAACACGUCAGUAUGCACUGAAUCGACACAGUACACUCCGUAUUUCCUCGUAUUUGGAAGAGAAUGCAGAACGCCUAUUGACACAGUUUUAACAGAACCGUCCAAAGUCGGACCAGUCGCUAAGCAGUAUAUAGACAAAGUACAUGAACACUUAGUUUUAGCUAGAGCAAUAGCGCGGGAAAAUGCACUCGAAGCACAAAAGAAGUACAAAGCACAGCACGAUAAAAGAGCAAGAGAAAUUUCUUACAACAUUCGUGAUAAAGUAUGGCUGGAUACUAAGAAAACGGAAGUUGGGUUAUCCCGAAAACUUUGUAAUAAAUGGCAAGGCCCGUAUUACAUAACCGAAGUUAAGGGUAAAAGCACGUAUAGACUCCGGCGCUGUUCUGACGAUGUACCAAUUAAAGGACUUAUCAACGUCAACAGACUAAAGAAGUUUUACGACCCACAAGACAGGCCUACAAACAAUGUUGAUGUUCCAACUGACGACGAAAUGUCAGACGAUGAUGACAAUGAAGAGGCUGAAAAUGCUGAAGAUGACGAUGAAAUUGGUCAAACGGAUACACAGCCAGACUCAAUGACCCUACACAAAAACGAUACUCAGGUACAACGGCACACAAAUGAUGACCGAAAGAACGAUGAUUCAGAUCUGUAUCUAGUAGAACGGAUAGUAAAAGCAAAACGUAUAAACAAUAAAAUGCAUUAUUACAUAAAAUGGUUAGGUUUCGGUAGCACAAGCAAUUCAUGGGAACCGGAAGAAAAUAUUCCUCCAGAAUUAAGACACGAAUUUAAAGUUCGUAUGGAUCAGACUAAACGUAUAAAAGCACGUAAAACAAAGAGAUAA
rnacentral:sRNA from 1 species